rnacentral:piRNA from 1 species
UUUGGUGUAUCUAAACAUUACUCGUGGCC